rnacentral:ncRNA from 1 species
CGCGAGGGCUUAAUAGGGAAGCCGGUGGAAAUCCGGCACGGUCCCGCCACUGUAACGCGGAGCGGCUCCAAAGAUGCCACUGGGAUACCGGGAAGGCUGGAGACGCGGGGAAGCGGAGUCAGGAGAACUGCCUGCCGG